rnacentral:lncRNA from 1 species
AAAAACAGAAUAAAUAAAGGGAACAAAUUUGGCCAAUAAAAUUGUUUCCUUCCAUUACCAAAAGAAUUCAAAACAUAUUUUUCCGUACAAUUCCAUUAUCAAGAUAAACUAACUAUUCGAAAACAAACAAAAAACCUUCCACCAUAUCAGAAAGGAAACAGCAAAAAACUGGUAAAUAUUCUAACCAAUAUUCAAAAACAAGUAAAAAUAAAAAGGUCCUAAACAGAAACUAUCAAACCCACAUAAAAUCAUCGAAACUAUUAAAACUUAGUCAACUUCUUCGAUCUUAGGACCAGCACCACCUGCAGCUGGAGGAACUUCAUCAUCCAUACCACCACCCAUAUCUGGAGCACCACCACCUUGGU